rnacentral:rRNA from 1 species
AUUGGACGCUGGCGGCAUGCCUUACACAUGCAAGUCGAACGGCAGCGGGCCCUUCGGGGUGCCGGCGAGUGGCGAACGGGUGAGUAAUGCAUCGGAACGUACCCGGGAGAGGGGGAUAACCGGCCGAAAGGCUGGCUAAUACCGCAUGAACUCGGAAGAGCAAAGCGGGGGACCUUCGGGCCUCGCGCUCUCGGAGCGGCCGAUGUCCGAUUAGGCUAGUUGGUGGGGUAAAGGCCCACCAAGGCGACGAUCGGUAGCGGGUCUGAGAGGACGAUCCGCCACACUGGGACUGAGACACGGCCCAGACUCCUACGGGAGGCAGCAGUGGGGAAUCUUGGACAAUGGGCGCAAGCCUGAUCCAGCAAUGCCGCGUGGGUGAAGAAGGCCUUCGGGUUGUAAAGCCCUUUCGGCGGGGAAGAAAUCGGUCAGGCGAAUAGUCUGGCCGGAUGACGGUACCCGCAGAAGAAGCACCGGCUAACUACGUG